GAUGAACGCUGGCGACGUGCCUAAUACAUGCAAGUCGAGCGAACAGAUGAGGUGCUUGCUCCUCUGACGUUAGCGGCGGACGGGAGAGUAACACGUGGUUAACCUACCUAUAAGACUGGGAUAACUUCGGGAAACCGGAGCUAAUACCGGAUAAUAUAUUGAACUGCAUGGUUCGAUAGUGAAAGACGGUUUUGCUGUCACUUAUAGAUGGAUCCGCGCCGCAUGAGUUAGUUGGUAAGGUAACGGCUUACCAAGGCGACGAUGCGUAGCCGACCUGAAAGGGAGAUCGGCCACACUGGAACUGAGGCACGGUCCAGACUCCUACGGGAGGCAGCAGUAGGGACUCCUCCGCGAUGGAGGAAAGCCUAACGGAGAAACGCCGCGAGAGUGAUGAAGGUCUUCGGAUCGUAAAACUCUGUUAUUAGGAGAGAACAAAUGUGUAAGUAACUAUGAACAUCUUGACGGUACCUGAUCAAAAAGCCACGGCUAACUACGUG
rnacentral:rRNA from 1 species